rnacentral:rRNA from 1 species
UGGGGAAUCUUGGACAAUGGGCGAAAGCCUGAUCCAGCAACGCCGCGUGAGUGAUGAAGGCCUUCGGGUCGUAAAGCUCUGUCGGUUGGAACGAAUAAAAGCCACCUAAUACGUGGCUUUAUGACGGUACCAGCAAAGGAAGCACCGGCUAACUCUGUGCCAGCAGCCGCGGUAAGACAGAGGGUGCAAGCGUUGUUCGGAAUUACUGGGCGUAAAGGGCGUGUAGGCGGUGGAGUGUGUCUGAUGUGAAAUCCCUCGGCUUAACCGGGGAACUGCAUCGGAAACUACUCUGCUGGAGUGCGAGAGAGGAAGGCGGAAUUCCCAGUGUAGAGGUGAAAUUCGUAGAUACUGGGAGGAACACCGGAGGCGAAGGCGGCCUUCUGGAUCGCAACUGACGCUGAGACGCGAAAGCGUGGGUAGCAAACAGGAUUAGAUACCCCCGUAGUCCCUGAGCGGGCUGGCAAGGCGCAU